rnacentral:lncRNA from 1 species
CUUCAACUUUGUACUUGUUUGGCUUUAUAAAUAUUUUGAUAUGAGAGUCACUGAUGAGUCUUAUGUAGACGAAACGCGCGUCUGGCGUACUAAAUUAUAAUCCUGGUACCUUUGAUAACUAUUUACACCACUGGGUCGAUGUCACUGCUGGUGGACGUUUCGUCCCCGAGGGUAUCACCAGCCCAGUAGUCAACACUUCGGUGUUGACAUGAAUAUCAAUAAUGUGGUCAUUUUUAUAAAUUUCCUGUUUACAAAACUUUAAAUUUUUCGAAAAACUAAGGAUUUUCUUAACCCAGGCAUAGAUUACCUUAGAUGUAUUUGGC